UCAGAUCCAUCCACAUGUGUUUUCAUCACAGGUUAGGGUGAUGGGUGUUGGGCUUCAGUCUCAUUUGUUUUCAUCACAGGUUAGGGUAAUGGGUGUUGGGCUUCAGUCUCAUUUGUUUUCAUCACAGGUUAGGGUGAUGGGUGUUGGGCUUCAGUCUCAUGUGUUUUCAUCACAGGUUAGGGUGUUGGGUGUUGGGCAUCAGUCUCAUUUGUUUUCAUCACAGGUUAGGGUGAUGGGUGUUGGGCUAUGCGUAUCAGUCUCAUGCUAGUAGCUAGUAGUAUAUAAAAUGAUGUACCUAUAAGGGUUGUUCUGAUAUAGCCCCUGGUACAGUAAGCAGACAUUCAUUCACGUGUGUGUGUGUGUGUGCGUGCGUCUGUGUGUGUGUGUGAUAUGAAUGCAACGGUGAAGGUAUGUGGUGUUGUGUCACACUCCACUACGUUGAUGCAUACAGUGAACGUCUCCGAUUGGUCCCUCAUCAGUCAUGUGCCUGCUCCAGGCCCUCUCAUUGGCCCAGAGGACCAGGAAACAUAACAUUUAUUAACUUCUACGGAGCGUGUCUCCUCUUUCAACUCCAUCUUGUGAUAGGCUCUCAUCUACCUAUCCUCCCUCCUCCUCCCCACUCCUCUACCUAUCCUCUCUCCACCUCCCCUCUCCGUCUCCCUAUCCUCUCUCCUCCCCCUA